rnacentral:rRNA from 1 species
CUUAGCGGCGGACGGGUGAGUAACACGUAGGCAACCUGCCUGUAAGACUGGGAUAACUACCGGAAACGGUAGCUAAGACCGGAUACACGAUUUGAUCGCAUGAUCGAAUUGGGAAAAGCGGAGCAAUCUGCUACUUACAGAUGGGCCUGCGGCGCAUUAGCUAGUUGGUGGGGUAACGGCUCACCAAGGCGACGAUGCGUAGCCGACCUGAGAGGGUGAACGGCCACACUGGGACUGAGACACGGCCCAGACUCCUACGGGAGGCAGCAGUAGGGAAUCUUCCGCAAUGGACGCAAGUCUGACGGAGCAACGCCGCGUGAGUGAUGAAGGUUUUCGGAUCGUAAAGCUCUGUUGCCAGGGAAGAACGCUUAGGAGAGUAACUGCUCUUAAGGUGACGGUACCUGAGAAGAAAGCCCCGGCUAACUACGUGCCAGCAGCCGCGGUAAUACGUAGGGGGCAAGCGUUGUCCGGAAUUAUUGGGCGUAAAGCGCGCGCAGGCGGCUUUGUAAGUCUGGUGUUUAAACCUAGGGCUCAACCCUGGGUCGCAUUGGAAACUGCAAGGCUUGAGUGCAGAAGAGGAGAGUGGAAUUCCACGUGUAGCGGUGAAAUGCGUAGAGAUGUGGAGGAACACCAGUGGCGAAGGCGACUCUCUGGGCUGUAACUGACGCUGA